rnacentral:rRNA from 1 species
AUGGGGCCGGUUACUUAUCUCUCGGGGAUGCCCUGCCCUCCCCUGGCGUGCUGGGGACCGAUGAUGCCCUGCCUUCCCCUGGCGUGCUGGGGAUCUGGUGGCGCCCGUCGAACGUCGAGAGGUGGCACAGCCCCGCCACACACUUGUUCCUCCUCCUCAGGAUCCUCAAUUCCUCAUCUAAAAGCUGUGAUAUUUCCCUCCUUCAUGGAUGUAUGGAACUGCGUGAAUGGGACAGCGAAGCCACUGUCAUGA